UUCCCCGCCGAAGCCCGCGUGCCAUUCUUCUCCUUGUGCGUUUUCUCUUCUUCUCUCGAGCCCUAACCGACGCCGCACGGUUUCGCCGCCGCACACGAUCCGCCGGCCGCCGUUGAGCCCUGCCGAAGCCGCUGUGCCCUCUUGCGCCGCUGCCCUCUCUGGAUCGAAGCAGCGCCGGCCACCGCGACUCCCUCUUUUCUUCUUCCCGAGACCUCGCCGGCCACUAGGUUUAACCUAGCGCCAUUGCCCCUCUCCGAUUCUCUGUGCCGGCGACCGAGCCUCCCUUCCUCCCCACGGCAGAGCACCAUUUCUUCCUUUAUUGUGCCGUGUCUGGUUUAAAUUUGGCCGAGACUUCUUCUGUGCCCUAGACCUCUUCACAGCCGGUUCCUUUCUUCGCCACCAGAAGCCGAUAGAGAGGAAGAAGUGUAUCAAGUUGAGACAUUUGGUGGUUGAAGUAAUUUGGUUGUGGAGUCUAGUCUUCUCCCGGUAUCAACCAUCUGUGGUUGAGAAUCAAACAGAAGGGAAGAAUUAUAAGAGGACCUUGACGCGAGACGAGUAUCUCGACGUCCGGAUUUGGACGGAUCGGACCUUUCUAUU